CCUACGGGGGGCAGCAGUGAGGAAUAUUGGUCAAUGGCCGGGAGGCUGAACCAGCCAAGUCGCGUGAGGGAAGACGGCCCUACGGGUUGUAAACCUCUUUUAUCAAGGAAUAAAACGAGGCACGUGUGCCUUUUUGCAUGUACUUUAUGAAUAAGGAUCGGCUAACUCCGUGCCAGCAGCCGCGGUAAUACGGAGGAUGCGAGCGUUAUCCGGAUUUAUUGGGUUUAAAGGGUGCGUAGAUGGGUUGUUAAGUCAGUUGUGAAAGUUUGCGGCUCAACCGUAAAAGUGCAAUUGAUACUGGCAGUCUGGAGUACAGGUGAGGUAGGCGGAAUUCGUGGUGUAGCGGUGAAAUGCUUAGAUAUCACGAAGAACCCCGAUUGCGAAGGCAGCUUACCAAACUGUGACUGACAUUGAUGCUCGAAAGUGUGGGUAUCAAACAGGAUUAGAUACCCGUGUAGUC
rnacentral:rRNA from 1 species